AAGAAGAAGAAGAAGAAGAAUUAGAAUUGUGGGUAAUCCACUGCGCUAUUGAGGAUUUGCCAUGAGGUGACGUGUUUACGAGUGUCUGUGGUCAAUGUUUAAUUUACUUUAAAUAUACAUGCAUGGUGUGGCUAGUUUUAUUAUUUUGGAUGUUAGUGGUCUUUGUCUAAACUUGCCAUGCUUUUAUUAAGUUAGUGAUAUGUUUGAUCAUGUUUUAUGGUCUGUAUUGAUGUCCGUUUUAGCUAACGUUAGCUAGCACCAAUACUAUGUCGUCCUCCUGGGCACGUGGUACGCAAUCCAGUUCAGUGUGAUUAAUCUGUAUAUAUAUUCGGUUAUAUAUUCGUUUGUAUUUGUUUUACAGCUAAGAGACAGUUUCUGUUGUUUCAGCUUUAGCUAAAUCAGUGUAAAUUCACUAAAAGAUCAUCAGAGCUGCCAAUUUUUCAAAAAGCCUUGAAGUGAGAUUUUGUGUGUUUUUUUUUAGCCACUGCAGGCUAAGAUUGAACUUACUUCGAGGACUUUUCCCGCACACAGGACUGAGGCCAAGAUUGAACUCACCUCGAGGACCUCCCCCUGCACGGUGAACAGCCCAGCCACAUCUGUACAGCUGCUCAGGGGGGUCAGAGGAGGUGGGGGGCAGAAGAGGCUCUCCGCUUGGAAAAAUAGGAGAGAUCCGGCGACAGCGAGAGAGCGAGAAGGCUGGAGCCGGCUGUGUUUUGGGUGUGAAACAAUAAAAAAACAAAACAAUAAUGGACCAGACUCCCUCAUGCUCGUCUUUCCAAGACCCCCCCAGAGGAACAACCUGUUACAGUUCAGGGGUGGAGUUUUCAGUUGGGGGUCAAGGGGCUCCCACAGCGCUCUGCUGACGUUGGUGGUGCGAUCGUCCUCCAGCAGGAGGUUCAGGGUGUCUAGAGAGCCCUCCACUUCAACCACCCCACACACACCAACCACCUCCUCUGAUGUCACCUCCUGUCAAGGGAAACAUUGACAUACAGCUCUGUCACCAAUUACCAGAACAUUAUGAUAACCUAACCCUAACCCAGAGCAACUGCUUAUUAAUUUCACAUUUUCUACUUUUAUUUGUUUACAAUGAACAUCAAUUCUGGACUUCCCCGUGUAUAGUUUUAAGAUGUGAUUGAACAAAAUAGCUGAAUGUAAUAAAGGUCUGUUCUGCUAUUGUGUGGGUGUGUGUACCCCCCUUUAGUGACUAAUACAACAGCAAAGUAGAGCUACCUCAAUGGUGGAAACAUUUGUGGACUGCGCCUGCGUCCCAUAUUGGGACUGGGUGGUCCUUAGAUGGGACACUAAUGUGUCCCCCCACUUGGAGCAGAUCCCAGACUGCAGCUUCCCUCCACAGGCUCAGUGUAAUCACUGUUUCCCCCUGCAAGGUGCAGAUGAGAUUAGUUUAAUUUCAAAGAUUCUGUCUCUCCCUGCGUCUCUGUGUGCGUGUCUGUCUUUUAUUUUUUUUCUCUGUGUACGUGUCUGUCUCUCCCUCCCUGUGUGUGUGUAUCUUUA
ensembl:lncRNA